rnacentral:rRNA from 1 species
GACGAACGCUGGCGGCGUGCUUAACACAUGCAAGUCGAACGGAAAGGCCCUGCUUUUGUGGGGUGCUCGAGUGGCGAACGGGUGAGUAACACGUGAGUAACCUGCCCUUGACUUUGGGAUAACUUCAGGAAACUGGGGCUAAUACCGGAUAGGAGCUCCUGCUGCAUGGUGGGGGUUGGAAAGUUUCGGCGGUUGGGGAUGGACUCGCGGCUUAUCAGCUUGUUGGUGGGGUAGUGGCCUACCAAGGCUUUGACGGGUAGCCGGCCUGAGAGGGUGACCGGCCACAUUGGGACUGAGAUACGGCCCAGACUACUACGGGAGGCAGCAGUGGGGAAUAUUGCACAAUGGGCGGAAGCCUGAUGCAGCAACGCCGCGUGCGGGAUGACGGCCUUCGGGUUGUAAACCGCUUUCGCCUGUGACGAAGCGUGAGUGACGGUAAUGGGUAAAGAAGCACCGGCUAACUACGUG